UUACAUCAGCUACUGUUAUUGUCAUGUUGUCAUUAUCUGCUAAGAAUAGAAAACUAUCAUACAUAAUGUGAGCUGCAAAGAAUAACUAAAAACACUAGCACUACAAACAGAACAAAGAGGGCAGCUGUCACGCUUUUUCUAAAGUAGAACCCAGAAGCAGACCAGGACAAGGAGAGUAGGACGAAGGUGAGUAUUUAUUUACAAGUUUAAAUGUAGAGGUAGAAAGAUCCAGGUGGUGGAGCGGGCAGCGGAGGUGAGUUGAUGGGAGUGAAUAGGCAGAUCCAAGGGAGUAACAAAAGCCACCGACGACCAGGCAGGAAUGGGGUGAGUGUUCCGGGUGAAUUACUGUAGACAGAACAAACGGAGGUAAGUUCAAGGCAAGCAAGACGUACAAAACAACAAAACAAACUAUCAAACUGGAGGCUGAUACGCUGGCACAACAUACUGUUCAUGGCUAACGAUCCGGCAGCUAUGAGUUUUUAAAAAUUAUAAUAGAGGACUAAUAUUAUUUCAGUGUCGAUAAGGGAAAUCCUGUAUAAAAUGAAAACAUGUCAGCCAGACAACCCAGUGUAUGAAUCAAAUGUAUUUGCAUAUGAAUGGAGGGGAAAUUGGCUGACUUUGUGAUCUGUAAGGUAAGUAACAAUGUGGGGGAGGGGGCAUUGAAAUCGUAGUAUUUUUUUUACCCUGAUGCCUGUUUAUUCAUAAAAAGCAGAAGAUGGUAAAUACCAUUAAUCGCAAUGGUUAGCCUAUGCAAAUUAACUCAAAUGAGCUGACAACGUUGCUAGCUAGUUUACAUACGGUGUAGAUAGCUAGCUAAGUUAAUUACAUUUGAACAGCUACCUAACUUCAUAUUAGCUAGCUAUCUUGAUAUAUUUAACACUGUAAAAUACAUGUGUGGGUAGCUAGCUAACAGCCAUGGAGGAGGGUGAAGAGAGUAGGCUCUUUGUGUAGUUCCAGUCCUUAGAAGUGAGAACAGAGAACAUCCUAUUCAGUGCUGUCUAAUUUGAGUAUAAUGAAGUCUGUUUCUCGUGAGGUUUUCUGUCCUCAGAUACAGAGAGCUGUGAAAGCCUGUCUGCAGAUGAAGAUGUCCCAAUGAAGAGCAGUGGUUCUUAGUCCUGGUCCUGAGAACUCAAAGGGGUGCAAUUUUUUUUUUGCCUUAGCGCUACACAUCUGAUUCAAAUGAUCAAGUCAUCAUCAAGCUUCAAGUGGUAUUUAUGUAUUCAUUUGUGACGCUAUCCUUGAUAUGAUCCUGCCAUUGUCACAUGCUACACAUGCACAUGUAUCUAUCUACCCAAUGUUAUCAUGAUUUGUUAUAAGGGAUAUUAUACUUUAGUAAUUCACAAUGAUCUGGUAAUGUAAAAGUCUAAUGAAAUGGUCUUCUAUUGUUUGUCCUCGUGUGUCUGUUUUUCAGCAUAAAGUACUCUGUAGCCACUUAGUGUGGACACCAGGUGAGACUACACACACACACACAGAUUCCUGUUGAACACAGUCUCUUUAAGUACCUUAUUUUCUCUCCUUCACUUUGUCCCUCUCCCCCCUUCUCCCUAUAUCCUCUAGGUUAUAUCAUCUGUGUUGGUGAACCCCUCCCGUAUCUGAACUGGCUGACACAGAGGGCACAGCAUGAUCAUAGUUAUGUUUUGAUGUGAGAGAGGAAGCCAGUCCCGUCAUCACCACCGCACCCGCUCUUAAGAUAACCUUUGGGCCAACUGGGGGCCAAAGGCUGGUUAGGAGACACCGCUAGAGACACUAUGUAAUUGUGUUGAACUGAGAGAAUAUUAGGGUAGCACUGUAAUUCAUUCAUCAUAUGCUGUCUUCCCUGCUCCUCUUACAUCUUUCCCUUUCUGUCUUCUACACCUCUCUCCCCACCUCCUUUCUUCCUCUUAUUUUAUAAUGCAUACCAUAUGUGCAUUGAAGUACAGAUUGAACUUGUAUUUAUAAUAAAAUAUAACAUUUAUAAUAUUUAUAAUGCAUGUAUUAUGUAUUUAUGACAUCUGGAUAAUGAACUUCUUUCAAUAAAGCAUGUCACAUUCUCCA